rnacentral:lncRNA from 10 species
AAAAAAACCAGCUGCUCACACGCACACUUCUCCAAUUCAAGCAGAAGCUGCUGAAGCACAAACAAGGCACUGCACGUAGAACAAGGAAGAAUGAAAAGCAUGGGCGGGUACCAUGAACACAUGUGUGUGUCAGGACUGCAGGCAACAGGCACCCCUCCGCCAGUCUCAGGUUAACUGAUGCUGAAGUCUACUCUGGAAAUCCUUUUCUGACUGCAUUUUGAAGACCAUCUUCUACUUUCCAGGUUGGAAUUCAUAUUCUGGUUCUCAGUACACUGUAGAUAACCUGGUGCUACGCUCUGAAUGUGUCCCCCAAAGGCAUGUGCUGGAAACUGAACACCCAGUGCUGCAGCGCUAGGAGGUGGGGCC